AACGAACGCUGGCGGCAUGCCUAACACAUGCAAGUCGAACGAGACCUUCGGGUCUAGUGGCGCACGGGUGCGUAACGCGUGGUAACCUGCCCUUAGGUUCGGAAUAACUCCCCGAAAGGGGUGCUAAUACCGGUUAAUGUCUUCGGACCAAAGAUUUAUCGCCUUUGGAUGGGCCCGCGUUGGAUUAGCUAGUUGGUAGGGUAAAAGCCUACCAAGGCGACGAUCCAUAGCUGGUCUGAGAGGAUGAUCAGCCACACUGGGACUGAGACACGGCCCAGACUCCUACGGGAGGCAGCAGUGGGGAAUAUUGGACAAUGGGCGAAAGCCUGAUCCAGCAAUGCCGCGUGAGUGAUGAAGGCCUUAGGGUUGUAAAGCUCUUUUACCCGGGAUGAUAAUGACAGUACCGGGAGAAUAAGCCCCGGCUAACUCCGUG
rnacentral:rRNA from 1 species